CCCUUAGAUGUUCUGGGCCGCACGUGCGCUACACUGAUGCAUUCAACGAGUUUCUUCCUGGUCCGAGAGGAAUGGGUAACCUUUUGAAAGUGCAUCGUGAUAGGGAUAGACUAUUGCAAUUAUUGGUCUUCAACGAGGAAUUCCUAGUAGACGUAGUUCAUCAGACUGCAUCGAUUACGUCCCUGCCCUUUGUACACACCGCCCGUCGCUCCUACCGAUUGAAUGCUCAGGUGAGCCAUUCGGACUUUCAUCAUGCUGGUUUCCAGUUUUGAUGAAGGAAAGUCUUGCGAACCUUAUCAUUUAGAGGAAGGAGAAGUCGUAACA
rnacentral:rRNA from 1 species